AACUUCGGGAAACCGGAGCUAAUACCGGAUACGUUCUUUUCUCGCAUGAGAGAAGAUGGAAAGACGGUUUACGCUGUCACUUAUAGAUGGGCCCGCGGCGCAUUAGCUAGUUGGUGAGGUAAUGGCUCACCAAGGCGACGAUGCGUAGCCGACCUGAGAGGGUGAUCGGCCACACUGGGACUGAGACACGGCCCAGACUCCUACGGGAGGCAGCAGUAGGGAAUCUUCCGCAAUGGACGAAAGUCUGACGGAGCAACGCCGCGUGAACGAAGAAGGCCUUCGGGUCGUAAAGUUCUGUUGUUAGGGAAGAACAAGUACCAGAGUAACUGCUGGUACCUUGACGGUACCUAACCAGAAAGCCACGGCUAACUACGUGCCAGCAGCCGCGGUAAUACGUAGGUGGCAAGCGUUGUCCGGAAUUAUUGGGCGUAAAGCGCGCGCAGGUGGUUCCUUAAGUCUGAUGUGAAAGCCCACGGCUCAACCGUGGAGGGUCAUUGGAA
rnacentral:rRNA from 1 species